rnacentral:rRNA from 1 species
GACGUAGGGCGCGAGCGUUGUCCGGAUUGACUGGGCGUAAAGCGCACGCAGGCGGCAUCGCGCGUGGGGUGUGAAAUCUGGCCGCUUAACGGCCAGGCGCCAUCCCAUACGGCGAGGCUGGAGCGAUGCAGAGGUCGGUGGAAUUGCCGGUGUAGUGGUGAAAUGCGUAGAGAUCGGGAGGAACACCGGGUGGCGAAGGCGGCCAACUGGACGAAGGCUGGACGCUGAGACACGAAAGCGUGGGGAGCAAACAGG